GUUCAUCCAAAAGCUAACUUGUGUUGUUAUCCUUGUGAUAAGUGGACGCAUUCGAGGUGUAAAGCCUUCAGCCUGGUUUUCCUAUUUUUUGUUUUAUUCUUUUGAAAGAAAAAGAAGAGUAAUAUUAAUAGUAAAGGCAGUACGGGGGUGCCACUCGUACACAGGGACCAAAACUGAAAUUAGAGGAUUAAAAAGAGGGC
rnacentral:lncRNA from 1 species